UUACAGGUGGUUCUCAACAUCAAAUAACAGGGCAGGUUCUCAAACAAGAAGAAUGAAGCCAGGUGUGUUGGCUGAGCCUCCUGAGGAGAAUAGAGGCCAGUAGGAAACCCAAGCAGGCAGUGGAUGGUGAACUGAAACUGGGGAACCAACAGCAAGAAUACCAGAAGGAUCUAAGGAUACUGUAACACAAAGGGAUAAUUAUGUUUAAAUGAUCCUUAUUCCUGCUUCAGAUUAAUAUUUGACAAGGCCGUCCGCAACUGAGAAGUGGUUUGGCCACAGAGAAAGCUUGCCCAGCAUUGAAGAAGCUUCUACGGAUUUUUAAUAGUCUGGAGUUUGGGGCAGUACUAGAAGGCCAUAUACCGUAUUCUUAUCCCAUUAUAGACUGAUAAUGAA